AUUGAACGCUGGCGGCAGGCCUAACACAUGCAAGUCGAACGGUAGCACAGAGAGCUUGCUCUCGGGUGACGAGUGGCGGACGGGUGAGUAAUGUCUGGGAAACUGCCCGAUGGAGGGGGAUAACUACUGGAAACGGUAGCUAAUACCGCAUAACGUCUUCGGACCAAAGUGGGGGACCUUCGGGCCUCACACCAUCGGAUGUGCCCAGAUGGGAUUAGCUAGUAGGUGGGGUAAUGGCUCACCUAGGCGACGAUCCCUAGCUGGUCUGAGAGGAUGACCAGCUACACUGGAACUGAGACACGGUUCAGACUCCUACGGGAGGCAGCAGUGGGGAAUAUUGCACAAUGGGCGCAAGCCUGAUGCAGCCAUGCCGCGUGUAUGAAGAAGGCCUUCGGGUUGUAAAGUACUUUCAGCGGGGAGGAAGGCGGUGAAGUUAAUAGCUUCAUCGAUUGACGUUACCCGCAGAAGAAGCACCGGCUAACUCCGUGCCAGCCGCCGCCGUAA
rnacentral:rRNA from 1 species